rnacentral:rRNA from 1 species
UACGAAGGGGGCUAGCGUUGCUCGGAAUCACUGGGCGUAAAGGGUGCGUAGGCGGGUCUUUAAGUCAGGGGUGAAAUCCUGGAGCUCAACUCCAGAACUGCCUUUGAUACUGAGGAUCUUGAGUUCGGGAGAGGUGAGUGGAACUGCGAGUGUAGAGGUGAAAUUUGUAGAUAUUCGCAAGAACACCAGUGGCGAAGGCGGCUCACUGGCCCGAUACUGACGCUGAGGCACGAAAGCGUGGGUAGCAAACAGG